rnacentral:rRNA from 1 species
CCCUUAGAUGUUCUGGGCCGCACGCGCGCUACACUGUUUGAUUCAGCGAGUCUUAACCUUGACCGAAAGGUUUGGGUAAUCUUCUAAAGUCAAACGUGAUGGGGAUCGAUCAUUGCAAUUAUUGAUCGUGAACGAGGAGUUCCUAGUAAAUGCAAGUCAUCAGCUUGCGUUGAUUACGUCCCUGCCCUUUGUACACACCGCCCGUCGCUACUACCGAUUGAAUGGUUUAGUGAGAUCUCCGGAUUGGCUCUGUAGGUCCCGCAAGGGAUUUAUUAGUAGCCAAGAAGCUGCUCAAACUUGAUCAUUUAGAGGAAGUAAAAGUCGUAACA